GAUGAACGCUGGCGGCGUGCCUAAUACAUGCAAGUCGAGCGAAUGGAUUAAGAGCUUGCUCUUAUGAAGUUAGCGGCGGACGGGUGAGUAACACGUGGGUAACCUGCCCAUAAGACUGGGAUGACUCCGGGAAACCGGGGCUAAUACCGGAUAACAUUUUGAACCGCAUGGUUCGAAAUUGAAAGGCGGCUUCGGCUGUCACUUAUGGAUGGACCCGCGUCGCAUUAGCUAGUUGGUGAGGUAACGGCUCACCAAGGCAACGAUGCGUAGCCGACCUGAGAGGGGGAUCGGCCAAACUGGGACUGAGACACGGCCCAGACUCCUACGGGAGGCAGCAGUAGGGAAUCUUCCGCAAUGGACGAAAGUCUGACGGAGCAACGCCGCGUGAGUGAUGAAGGCUUUCGGGUCGUAAAACUCUGUUGUUAGGGAAGAACAAGUGCUAGUUGAAUAAGCUGGCACCUUGACGGUACCUAACCAGAAAGCCACGGCUAACUACGUGCCAGCCGCCGCAGUAA
rnacentral:rRNA from 1 species